GCGAUUUGGGCGUAAGAGCUCGUAGGCGGUUUGUCGCGUCUGUCGUGAAAGUCCGGGGCUUAACCCCGGAUCUGCGGUGGGUACGGGCAGACUAGAGUGCAGUAGGGGAGACUGGAAUUCCUGGUGUAGCGGUGGAAUGCGCAGAUAUCAGGAGGAACACCGAUGGCGAAGGCAGGUCUCUGGGCUGUAACUGACGCUGAGGAGCGAAAGCAUGGGGAGCGAACAGGAUUAGAUACCCUGGUAGUCCAUGCCGUAAACGUUGGGCACUAGGUGUGGGGACCAUUCCACGGUUUCCGCGCCGCAGCUAACGCAUUAAGUGCCCCGCCUGGGGAGUACGGCCGCAAGGCUAAAACUCAAAGGAAUUGACGGGGGCCCGCACAAGCGGCGGAGCAUGCGGAUUAAUUCGAUGCAACGCGAAGAACCUUACCAAGGCUUGACAUGUUCUCGAUCGCCGUAGAGAUACGGUUUCCCCUUUGGGGCGGGUUCACAGGUGGUGCAUGGUUGUCGUCAGCUCGUGUCGUGAGAUGUUGGGUUAAGUCCCGCAACGAGCGCAACCCUCGUUCCAUGUUGCCAGCACGUAAUGGUGGGGACUCAUGGAAGACUGCCGGGGUCAACUCGGAGGAAGGUGAGGACGACGUCAAAUCAUCAUGCCCCUUAUGUCUUGGGCUUCACGCAUGCUACAAUGGCCGGUACAAUGGGUUGCGAUACUGUGAGGUGGAGCUAAUCCCAAAAAGCCGGUCUCAGUUCGGAUUGGGGUCUGCAACUCGACCCCAUGAAGUCGGAGUCGCUAGUAAUCGCAGAUCAGCAACGCUGCGGUGAAUACGUUCCCGGGCCUUGUACACACCGCCCGUCAAGUCACGAAAGUUGGUAACACCCGAAGCCGGUGGCCUAACCCUUGUGGGGGGAGCCGUCGAAAGUGGGACCAGCGAUUGGCUAAGUCGUAACAAGGUUCGUACU
rnacentral:rRNA from 1 species